CAAUUCUUUCAAGAACUCCGCUUGUAAACAGUGAAGAGCAAUGAGUUAAAAUCAAAAUUACAAAAAUUAAACAAAAUGUGCUGAAUUGAAAAAAAAUCUCAAACUCGUCUCCAACUGAGUAACAGCUUGGCUACUUUAUACUAUAUUUUGUGGUUCGUCUUUCAGGUCAUUGCAAGUCAGUGCUUAGUGAAUAUCUUUAACAGGUUCCCAAUAAUUGAAGCUGAAUAAUGCAUUACUUAUAUUUUUCAUAUAACAACAUUUCUAAUCAGGCAGGUGUUAUUGUUUACUAGACUUUUAAGUAAAACUGCAGAGUAUCAAUUUGUGAUCUACAUAAUACCAUUGCUUAAUUUAUGAGUGUCAAACUACGCUAUUGAAUGCAAUACAUUUUUUCAAUAAUUGAUGUUUAUUCUUCCCUUGGGUUUCCAUGUCAAAAGCACAAACCCAUUUAGCAGAAUGUAGUGGAUAUGCAAUAAAAUGUCUCUGGGAUUUUUUAAAAUUUGUGUCAUAAUUCAACAUAUGUUUAAA